rnacentral:rRNA from 1 species
GAUGAACGCUGGCGGCGUGCUUAACACACGCAAGUCGAACGGAAAGGCCCUGCUUUUGUGGGGUGCUCGAGUGGCGAACGGGUGAGUAACACGUGAGUAACCUGCCCUUGACUUUGGGAUAACUUCAGGAAACUGGGGCUAAUACCGGAUAGGAGCUCCUGCUGCAUGGUGGGGGUUGGAAAGUUUCGGCGGUUGGGGAUGGACUCGCGGCUUAUCAGCUUGUUGGUGGGGUAGUGGCUUACCAAGGCUUUGACGGGUAGCCGGCCUGAGAGGGUGACCGGCCACAUUGGGACUGAGAUACGGCCCAGACUCCUACGGGAGGCAGCAGUGGGGAAUAUUGCACAAUGGGCGGAAGCCUGAUGCAGCAACGCCGCGUGCGGGAUGACGGCCUUCGGGUUGUAAACCGCUUUCGCCUGUGACGAAGCGUGAGUGACGGUAAUGGGUAAAGAAGCACCGGCUAACUACGUG